AAAUCUUUCCUAUUAGGUCUAUCGCCCAACCCUUAAACGGCCAAGGUCUGAUAAUAGAUGUCAUCUCUCGUGCUGACGCCCUUUGUGUUGGACCAUGCUUUUGGCAUGCUAGACAACUCUUUGCUUACUGAACGCAUGAUUCUCUCAUCUUGGGCCAAAAAUAUCCAUUCCUAAUAAUUAACCAUCUCAUUAUUUGGCCAGCUUGAUGAGCUCCACAUAUCCCUUCGUGCACCUCAG
rnacentral:lncRNA from 1 species